AACGAACGCUGGCGGCAGGCCUAACACAUGCAAGUCGAACGCUCCGCAAGGAGAGUGGCAGACGGGUGAGUAACACGUGGGAAUCUUCCUAUCGGUACGGAGUAGCUCAGGGAAACUUGAGGUAAUACCGCAUACGCCCUUCGGGGGAAAGAUUUAUCGCCGAUCGAUGAGCCCGCGUCUGAUUAGCUAGUUGGUGGGGUAAUGGCCGACCAAGGCGACGAUCAGUAGCUGGUCUGAGAGGAUGACCAGCCACACUGGGACUGAGACACGGCCCAGACUCCUACGGGAGGCAGCAGUGGGGAAUAUUGGACAAUGGGCGCAAGCCUGAUCCAGCCAUGCCGCGUGAGUGACGAAGGUCUUCGGAUUGUAAAGCUCUUUUGCCAGGGACGAUAAUGACGGUACCUGGAGAAUAAGCCCCGGCUAACUUCGUGCCAGCCGCCGCGGUAAUAC
rnacentral:rRNA from 1 species